UCAGGGAAGCACCGGAGGAAGGAUGAGCAGGGCUGGAAAAGCUGUGCUCCAGGCGGAGAGAAGACCCCUGUGGAAACGCGGAGGCGGGAAGGGCUUGUGGGAAUAAGGAAUGAUCUGGAAGCUGCAAAGUGGAGCCCGUAUGCUGCUGAGGUGGGCAAAGCGGAGGCCUGUGAUCACAGGUGCUGCUUGAGGAUGUCUAGCUCACAUUGUGUUUCGAGCCAACUGACUUCGCUCCGGGCUCUAAGAAGUAAACUGGCCGGUCCAGCUGGUGCGGGAUGACACUUCUCCUUCUCUGCACAGGGGCAGCCAAACGCUGCCCCUCACCUACCACGGCAGCAGCACCAAGAAAC